GCAAAGGCGAAAAUUUGUGCAAACAGAAUUCCAAGGCUGCAUCAAGGCUCCAAUCACACUGCUAAACAACAUUCAAAAGCCCUCAAUCCUAACACUUUGAACAUGUCAGACAACCAACCAGCACGCAUCAGACAGGGAAGGGAGACCAAGCCUGCGUCGGCUAGAGAGGGAAUGGGUGGCGCUAAGGGAAGAAAGGGUUCUUCAAAGAAGGAG